ACGUUGACCUCCUAUCUAGCAAUAACUUAAGAAAUAGAUAUGGUGGACAGUUUGAGUUGUAGAAAAAUUAAGGUAAAUCAUGUUUUAUGUUCCCUUGUAUGUGAAGGUUUCAGAGUGAAAUGGAAGAGGGGAAGAACCGUCACUUGGCCGAACUGGCUUGGGAUGUGAAACGACGCCUCAGGCUUAAGGAGCUGGAAAGAGAAGUGUGCAGGGAGCUGCGCCUGGAGCGCCGAAUCCGCUGGUCGGUGAUUGGACAGCCUGGUAGCCAGAUGGGAGAUUGGAGACCCCUGGGCAUGGAGACACACACACCUCUGGGAAUGGACUCUCCCCUCAGACACUCCACCUCCUCGAUGGACACUCUUUCCAGUCAGAUCUCGACUGAGAACCUCGAGGUUGCUAGGCUACAUAUUGCCAGACCACAUAUUGCCAGACCACAAACUACCAGACCACGUUCUGCCAGACCACCAACUGAAAGAUCUAGCAGUGACUCUGAUCACUCUGGAACCUUGUCUACUGUGAUGACCUGCUCACCACAUUCAGCUAGCCCGUCAGUGGUAGGUCACUUUGGUCAUGAACAUGUUCCCAGCUUUCACUCUUUGGGGGCUGUAGGCAUAUUACUGCUUCCUUGUCUCCCAUCUCCUGGGAAAUCCAUAUCCAAGUACAGUGGCAAGAAAAAGUAUGUGAACCCUUUGGAAUUACCUGGACAUAAAAUGUUGUCUAAGUCACAACAAUAGACAAACCCAGUCUGCUUAAACUAAUAACACACCAACAAUGAUACUUUUUCAUGUCUUUAUUGAACACACCGUGUAAACAUUCACAG